AGCAGCCGCGGUAAUUCCAGCUCCAAUAGCGUAUAUUAAAGUUGUUGCAGUUAAAAAGCUCGUAGUUGAAUUUCGGGAUCAAUCUGCCGGUCGUGCCUCCGGUAUGCACUGGUUUUAUUGGUUUCUCCCUUCUGACGAAUCAUGAUGUCAUUAAUUUGGUGUCAUGGGGAAUCAGGACUGUUACUUUGAAAAAAUUAGAGUGUUUAAAGCAGGCUCACGCUUGAAUACAUUAGCAUGGAAUAAUGAAAUAGGACGUUUGACCCUAUUUUGUUGGUUUCUAGGAUCGACGUAAUGAUUAAUAGGGAUAGUUGGGGGCAUUAGUAUUCAAUUGUCAGAGGUGAAAUUCUUGGAUUUAUUGAAGACUAACUACUGCGAAAGCAUUUGCCAAGGAUGUCUUCAUUAAUCAAGAACGAAAGUUAGGGGAUCGAAGGCGAUCAGAUACCGUCGUAGUCUUAACCAUAAACUAUGCCGACUAGGGAUCGGAUGAUGUUAUUUUUUAAUGACUCAUUCGGCACCUUAC
rnacentral:rRNA from 1 species